CUCCGCGGGGUCUGGGCGCCCUUGCAAGGAAAGAGGGCUUCCUGGGAGGGUGGCUUCGAGGCCCGAGAGCUCGCAUCAGUCAUUCCAAACGUCGUUAGGAAGCGGGACGGGAUCGAUGAGGCGAUGGAAAGUCGGGUUCCAGACUGCCUCGGGGGGGCGUUCACCGCUGAGCCCGGGCCGCGCCCCCCCCCCACCUUCCCCGCCGCCCGGUGCCCCGCUGGGGACUGCGCAGGUCCCGGCCCAGGCCCUCGGCGUGGCCCCCGUCAGCCCUUCACGUUGGGGCUGCGCGCGGGUGUACAGCCGUCGAGGAUCGGAGCCUAGGGGUGCCGGGGCUCCCAGAGAGUGUGACUCGGAGGGGCAGAGGUUCCCCGCUUCCCAAAGCCGAGGCGCCCCAGAGCGACUGGGAACCUAGCGCGGUGCGCCUGCCACCCGUCCCCUCGCAAGGAAGGAGGAGGAGAUCGAAGGACAGCCUUUGCCCGAUCAUUGAAAGAGAAGCUUCUGGCCCCUCCCCGGAUGGUUUGGAGCGGUUUGUAACUCAGGCUGACCCGCCUUUUCCGGCCCCUCCCAGCACUCUCACCCCCACCCGGAGGCCGGGGCGCGCGCCAUCGGGCAGGCGGGCCUGGGCACAGCCACUACGGAGCCACAGAGCGGGCAGCAGGGAGGGAAGGAGGACCAAGCUGGCUUUCCAGGAGGCUGGACUUCCUCAUCGUCUCCUCCCACGCCUGAGAGCGCGGCCGGGGGUUGGGGGAGGGGGGAAGGGCUCCUGCCCUGUUGGAACCCUCCCUGGUGCGGGCGCCAGCUGCUUUUGGCAGGGUUUAUGGAUGUGGGGUCAGACCGGGCUCCUCAUCCUUGUUCACCUCAUGAGCCACCCAGAAAAUUUAUAUAAUGUCCCCGUGACUUUCAGGGGUGAACUGGUGAGUAUUUGGAGAGUCCAAAUGGGGCUUGGUGAGUAAAAAAAAAAAAAAAAAAAAAAAAAUUUCAUUCUCUAUAUUAUGCAAUCAUGUAAAGAAAAUGAAAUAUAAACGAUUACAAAAGGUGAAAUACCCACUAUGUAUAUACAAUUUCCUAAAUGAAAUCUUUACAACCCUUUCUUUAUUUUCUCCUUUAUACUAUGGAAAAGUUCCCACAAAAAUAGAAGAGUAGAUAAUUUUCAGCUUCAACAAUGAUCAAGAUAUGGCCAAUUUUGUUUCAUUACUCCCCUCCUGUUCUUAUCCUGUUUUGUUUUGUUUAUUUAUUUUGAGAGGGACAGCUCAAGCAGGGGAGGGGCAGAGAAAGAGAGAGAAUCCCAAGCAGGCUCCAUGCUGUCAGUGCAGAGCCCAACUUGGGACUCCAUCCCAUGAACCGGGAGAUUAUGACCUGAGCUGAAAGCGAGAGUGGGAUGCUUAGCCAACUGAGCCUCCCCGUCGCCCCAUCCUUUCAUUAAAAAAAAAAUUUUUUUUUAAUGUUUAUUUUUGAGAGAGAGACAGAGCACCAGCAGGGGAGGGGCAGAGAGAGAGGGAGACACAGAAUCUGAAGCAGGCCCCAGGCUCUGAGCUGUCAGCACAGAGCCCCAUGCAGGGCUUGAACUCACAGACCAUGAGAUCAUGACCUGAACCGAUGCUUAACCAACGAGCUACCCAGGCUCCCCCUUUCACUUUUUUUAAAUGAUAAAUUGACCUUUGCCAGAUAACAAGGCACCCCAAAGUGUACUGGCCUAAAACAGCAAUACUCUAUGCUUUGUCAUGAUUGUGCUGGUUGGCUGGGCACUUCUUCUGUGAGUUUUGACUGGAAUUAUUCAAGAGGGAGGCUCAGCUGGGCUAGAAGGUCCAAGAUGGUUUCACUCGCAUGUCUGGCUGUGGACUAGGACACUUCAGGUCUCCUCUCUUCCAUGGCUUCUCGUGUUCUAGUAGGCUAGAUGGAUUGUUAUAUAGCAACCAGAACCUUCCAAGAGAAUCAAGGCAGAACCCUUAAGCUUCCUGACUUAACCAUGGGAACCCCAAGUCACUUCCAUCCUUUUCUAUUGGCCCAAGCAGGUCACAGGGCAAGCCCAGACUCGGGUAAGGAAGUGGAGAAAAAGACACACCCUUGGAUGGGAAGAAGACAUGGGGGGACACAUUGCACAGUGCAAACCAGCAUGGGAGGGAUUGGUGGCCUUUAACCAAUCUACCACAGUUUGUUUUCAUCAAUGUAACUUUUUUUUUUUUAAGUUUAUGUGUUUAUUUUGAGAGUGAGAGAGCGAGUGAGCAAGGGAGGGGUAGAGAGAGAGGGAGAGAGAGAAUCCCAAGCAGGCUCCGUGCUGUCAGCGCAGAGCCGCAUGUGGGGCUCGAUCCCAUGAACCUGAGAUUGUGACCUGAGCCGAGAUCAAGCGUCGCUCCUUCCACGUAACUUUUUAUAUGAGGUUUAAUGCUCGCAACGGCCACACAUAAUUCAUCGAUGAACACUUCGAAUGCUUGAUAGUCACCAUCAAGGAGAAAUUUCAUUAGCACAGGUACUUAAAAUGGUCUAAUUUGCGGAAGGCACCCGCAUUAGAGAGCAGCUGACUCGCGGUUGGCGUGGACACCGUGAAACUGUGCACCAGCCACAAAAGGAGAGAGUACAGCCUGACAGGAAAAAACCACCAUGGGACUAGAAGCUCCCAACCAACGAGGAUAUUAUUGCACAUUCAGAUGGACGAGGUACCUCUCUGCAGGUUGUGACUGCUUAACUCUGAGCAGCAGACUUUAAAAGAACCUCUUUCUACAAAUAUGAUGACAAUCUUAAAAUACCCAACAGGCUAACGAGGAAGAAAAACCACUCCUUCUGUCUAAGGGGAAUGGUGAAAUAAUGGCCCAAAGCUGUCCUCUGCAAUUCCUUUGGGGGUGACAUUAAAGGAUUGGAAGGCAUCGGGGAAACCAACAGGAAAAUUAGCUUUAAAAAAAAAAGAUUUUAUGUUUAAGUAAUCUCUACAUCCAACAUGGGGCUCGAACUCACAACGCCGAGAUCAAGAGUCACACACUCCAUCGACUUAGCCAGCCAGGUGCCCCAGGAAAAUUAGCUUUGUUAGUAAAAUGAGCUUACUUAGUGAAAAUAAUUCUCACUGGAUCUAGCUUUUAACAAAUCUAUGGUCAUUUUAUGAUCCUAUAUAUUUUCUGGAGUAGAAGUCUGAUGACCAGCACCUUUUUACCGAUAAAAAGAGCGACUCCGAAGCACACAAAUGUGUCUAGGGAAGGGGUCUUGUGCCUCUUUUUACUCAAUGAGCCUGUGGUUCUUCUUGGUUUUCGUGUAUAUGAGUGUGUCUGUGUGUGCACAUGGGCGUGCAUGUGCACAUGUGUGGGAGAGUAGAUCCAGGUUUUGUGGGUUUUUUUAUUUUAUGAUUUGGGGAUCCCUUAAAGAGAAAAAAGAACAGAACAUUAUGGAUACAGAAUUAGGUAGGAGAAGAAUGUUAUGCAGAUUCAGAAAGAAAACACAAUACAUAGCAUACUUUAAAAAAAAAAAAAUGUUUAUUUUUGAGAGAGAGAGAAAGAGAGCACAAGCAAGG